AUUGAACGCUGGCGGCAGGCUUAACACAUGCAAGUCGAGCGGAGAUGAGGUGCUUGCACCUUAUCUUAGCGGCGGACGGGUGAGUAAUGCUUAGGAAUCUGCCUAUUAGUGGGGGACAACAUUCCGAAAGGAAUGCUAAUACCGCAUACGUCCUACGGGAGAAAGCAGGGGAUCUUCGGACCUCGCGCUAAUAGAUGAGCCUAAGUCGGAUUAGCUAGUUGGUGGGGUAAAGGCCUACCAAGGCGACGAUCUGUAGCGGGUCUGAGAGGAUGAUCCGCCACACUGGGACUGAGACACGGCCCAGACUCCUACGGGAGGCAGCAAUGGGGAAUAUUGGACAAUGGGGGGAACCCUGAUCCAGCCAUGCCGCGUGUGUGAAGAAGGCCUUAUGGUUGUAAAGCACUUUAAGCGAGGAGGAGGCUCUUUUGGUUAAUACCCAAGAUGAGUGGACGUUACUCGCAGAAUAAGCACCGGCUAACUCUGUGCCAGCCGCCGCGGUAAGAC
rnacentral:rRNA from 1 species